GGUGCUGCCCACCCCGCCAGGCCGGGCCAGGGGACGCUCCCGCCAGCCUCCCGGCUACUGCUCUCCUGGAGCCCAGAUGGUGUUGCCGCUUCCACACCACCCGCACCACCACCUUCUACGCAUCCCCAAAUUUCUCCUUGUCCCUGCUGCUUUGCCGACUCCACGGUCAAACCCCUCAGUGGGUGCAUGUGACUGGCUGAGCCAACUGCCAGGGAUGCUGAGAAAAUGUUGAACCAACCUUGCAGCCCAGGAAUAAAUCUCACUUGGUCGUGGUGAAUAAUCCUUUUAAUGUACUGUUGGACCCAUUGGCUAGUAUCUUGAGCACUAAGGUUGAGUCCAGACAACAAAACCGUGACUGUAAAGUGAGAAGUCACCCAGAGGUUUCCAGGCCACCAGAUGUGCAGCAUAUUUAGACAGAACAGCUGGAUAAUUUAACAACUUCCUUGUCCCCCCCCCCCCCCCACUCCCCGGAAGGUCGGCCGCCAGGGCAUCUCAGACAGCCUGUCUAUGUGAGGACAUACACGUGUAUGCGCCGGAGUAUUCCCUCCUGAGAUUCUGUGCAAAAGUCACCAUUCUCUCGAAAACCCCACGUGUAUUCUUUAAUGUGAUCAGAUUCAGAUUUCCCUCCCUACAACCUCCUUUUUCCUCCUCCUGGAUAGUCUGGCUUGGAAGCCCGGUGCUGUUUGUUGAAGUAUCCCAAAGAUCUUCCACUUACGUCCUAUGAUCUUCAUCGUGAUCUCAUGAGUGAGGUGUUUGGGACAAUGACAUAAAAAGAGGUAGCAAAGGUCUAAAGGAAGCCCUAGAGAAAGCUGGCAAGAAAACCCUCAAAGGCAGGGCACUGCGUUUCUUGGCCCGAUUUUACUGAUGACAAAACUGAUAGGCAAACUCCAGGGUCCAGAAUCUCAACAGAACUAGUGCUCAAAAUCAGAACGCUCAGCUCCCAGCAUGCAACUCACCUCCCAGCACCACAGAGCAGCAAAACUGGGCAAGACCCACAGAUGGGGCAGUGUGGUACAAUGGGCAUCGCCUCAGGCUCUUGCAUCUGGCAGACGGCCCUCAGCUCAAAUCCCUUCUCUGGGACUUAGGAGCUGCCUGGUCCUGGGCAAGCCUCUGUUUCCUCAUUUGUAGAAGGGAAAUGAUAAUAGCAUCUGCCUCAGAGGGAUGUUGUGAAGACCCAGUGAAAUAAAACAUGGGAAGUUUCUGGAUGAUAGCAAGUACUCAAAUAUAUAUAUUGCUGUUGUUCAUAUUAGAAUUAGUAUUCGUAUAAAACUGAGACCCAAGUUCACACAAACUAGUUAAUGGCAGAUCCAGACUCUGCACCCGGAUCCUGCAGCUCUCACAUCAGUGUACCUGCACCAAGAGAGUUUCCUGCUACCUUCUCCCAACCAAAAAGCACAAAAACAUUUUUUGAGCACUUUUUCUGUCCCAGGCAUGAUCACAACACCCUACACAUGUUCACUUCACUUAAUUCUCAAAACAACCCAGUGACGCACGUCCCCUUAUCAUCCCCACUUUAUUAAGAAACUGAGGCUCAGAGAACAUAAGAGACUUGCCCCAGGGGCGCCUGGGUGGCUCAGUCGGUUAAGCGGCUGCCUUCGGCUCAGGUCAUGAUCCCGGGGUCCUGGGAUCGAGCCCCGCAUCGGGCUCCCUGCUCGGCGGAGAGCCUGCUUCUCCCCUCCCUCUGUCUGCCACUCUGCCUACUUGUGCUCUCUCUCUAUCUCUGUUAAAUAAAUAAAAAUCUUAAAAAAAAAAAAAAAAGAAAGAAAGAAAAAGAAACUUGCCCCGGGACACACAGCUGGUAGGUGGCAGGGCCGGCUGGCACCAGAGUCCCCACACCGGCCCUGUUUUCUGUUUAAAUUCUUAGAGAUUUACCCCAAAUCAUGAUUACAUUUCUUUACCUUUCUCUUUCUCUCACCUUUUGCUUAUAUAUAAGUAACACAUGAAUACAUUCUCAAUGGAAAAAAUCGGCGGCAUUACUAUAAACUGUGUUUUGAUAUUAUCCCUAAGCGCCACUCUUAACAACCUGGUAAGAAUCCUUCCAGACUUUUUCCUGUACAUUCGCAUAUGCACGUACUGCUGCUUUGCUGGGUCUCUAGAAAACAGUAGUUGAGGUAGUGACCCUGAGACUGAAGGAAGGUGGUGGGGCCUGGAGACAGUCUCACUUUCUGUUUUCUAGAAAUCGGUUACCUAUAAAUAUUCUGAAAGCUUCCGGCGGUUGACUUGGCCAAGGUCCCAGCGAUCUGGAUGCAUAAUGACGUUUCUUUGGCUCUACACAGAGACAGAACCAGAGAAGGAUGGGUUUAUCUUGUCCAUACAGCAGCCACUCCACACAUACGGUUCUGAGCCCUUGCAUGUGGCUGGUCCUGUGCUCUCAGUGGAACAUACACACUGGAUUUUAAAGCCUCAUGCAUUAAAAAAGAAGGCCAGGAGAGAGUGGGAUGGCCUAUCGUACCUUCUGAGACACAGCCUCGGAAGCCGUGGAGUGACUUCUGGUGUAGACAUGGUCCUCCCCAGUCUCAAGGGUCGGGAACCUGGAUCCCAUCUCUUGUAGGCACCACACCCAGCGUGGAGCCCUACCCAGGGCUUGAACUCACGACUGUGAGAUUGAGACCUGAGCUGAGAUCAAGAAUCAGAUGCUCAACCAACUGAGCCACCCAGGUGCCCCUGUGUAUAUAUAUAUAUAUAUAUACAUUUUAAUAACCAUCUCAGGUGUUUAAAAAAUUAUAUUAAGCCCCCAAACUGGAAACAACCCAAGUGCCUUCCAACAGGCAAAUGGAUAAACAUAUUCUUAUCUAUCCAUACUAUGGAUACUUCUCAGAAAUAAAAAGAUAUGUUCUAUUGACACACAUGGCAUGUAUGGAUCUUAAGACCAUUGUGCUGAGUGAAGGACACCAGCCACAGAAAAUGCUCACUCUGUGAUCCCAUUUAUCUGAAACGCUAGAAAAGAUCAAUCUAAUCUGUCAUGGUAGAAAGCAAAUCAGCUGUUGCCAGGAACUGGGUGGAGGCAGACUGACUACAAAGGGCAUGGAGAAAAUUUCAUGGGCGACGGAAAUAUUCUAUAUCUUACUGGGUGGUGUUUCCAUGGUUGUAUUCACUGGUCAAAAUUCACUGAACUGUACAUUUAAAAUGGGUGCAUUUUAUCAUACCUAAGUUGUACCUAAGUAAAGUUGAUUUUUUAAAAGAUUUUAUUUAUUUAUUUGACAGAGAG